UACGUAGGGUGCGAGCGUUAAUCGGAAUUACUGGGCGUAAAGGGUGCGCAGGCGGUUAUAUAAGACAGAUGUGAAAUCCCCGGGCUCAACCUGGGAACUGCGUUUGUGACUGUAUGACUAGAGUACGGUAGAGAGGGGUGGAAUUCCUGGUGUAGCAGUGAAAUGCGUAGAUAUCAGGAGGAACAUCGAUGGCGAAGGCAGCCCCUUGGACCUGUACUGACGCUCAUGCACGAAAGCGUGGGGGGCAAACAGG
rnacentral:rRNA from 1 species